rnacentral:rRNA from 1 species
GACGAACGCUGGCGGCGUGCUUAACACAUGCAAGUCGAGCGGUAAGGCCCUUUCGGGGGUACACGAGCGGCGAACGGGUGAGUAACACGUGGGUGACCUGCCCUCAGCUCUGGGAUAAGCCUGGGAAACCGGGUCUAAUACUGGAUAUGACUCCAUGACGCAUGUUGUGGGGUGGAAAGCCUUGUGCGGCUGAGGAUGGGCCCGCGGCCUAUCAGCUUGUUGGUGGGGUGANGGCCUACCAAGGCGACGACGGGUAGCCGGCCUGAGAGGCGACCGGCCACACUGGGACUGAGACACGGCCCAGACUCCUACGGGAGGCAGCAGUGGGGAAUUGUUCGCAAUGGGCGCAAGCCUGACGACGCAACGCCGCGUGGAGGAUGAAGGUCUUCGGAUUGUAAACUCCUGUUGCUCGGGACGAAAUGCUCCAGCCUAACACGUUGGAGUUUGACGGGUACCGGGUGAGGAAGCCCCGGCUAACUCUGUGCCAGCAGCCGCAGUAA